rnacentral:tRNA from 1 species
GUUAAUGUAGCUUAACUAUUCAAAGCAAAACACUGAAAAUGUCUAGAUGGGUCUGCACAACCCCAUAAACA